rnacentral:rRNA from 1 species
GCUGCCUUACCUGCAAGUCGAACGGCAGCACGGGAGCAAUCCUGGUGGCGAGUGGCGAACGGGUGAGUAAUACAUCGGAACGUGCCCAAUCGUGGGGGAUAACGCAGCGAAAGCUGUGCUAAUACCGCAUGAGAUCUACGGAUGAAAGCAGGGGACCGCAAGGCCUUGCGCGAAUGGAGCGGCCGAUGGCAGAUUAGGUAGUUGGUGGGGUAAAGGCUCACCAAGCCUGCGAUCUGUAGCUGGUCUGAGAGGACGACCAGCCACACUGGGACUGAGACACGGCCCAGACUCCUACGGGAGGCAGCAGUGGGGAAUUUUGGACAAUGGGCGCAAGCCUGAUCCAGCCAUGCCGCGUGCAGGAUGAAGGCCUUCGGGUUGUAAACUGCUUUUGUACGGAACGAAAAGGCUUUCUCUAAUAAAGGGGGCUCAUGACGGUACCGUAAGAAUAAGCACCGGCUAACUACGUGCCAGCAGCCGCGGUAAUACGUAGGGUGCAAGCGUUAAUCGGAAUUACUGGGCGUAAAGCGUGCGCAGGCGGUGAUGUAAGACAGUUGUGAAAUCCCCGGGCUCAACCUGGGAACUGCAUCUGUGACUGCAUCGCUGGAGUGCGGCAGAGGGGGAUGGAAUUCCGCGUGUAGCAGUGAAAUGCGUAGAUAUGCGGAGGAACACCGAUGGCGAAGGCAAUCCCCUGGGCCUGCACUGACGCUCAUGCACGAAAGCGUGGGGAGCAAACAGGAUUAGAUACCCUGGUAGUCCACGCCCUAAACGAUGUCAACUGGGUGUUGGGUCUUCACUGACUCAGUAACGAAGCUAACGCGUGAAGUUGACCGCCUGGGGAGUACGGCCCCAAGGUUGAACUCAAAGGAAUUGCCGGGACCCCCCCACCCGUGGAUAAUUGGUUUAUUCCAUGCACCCCAAAAACCUACCCCCCUUUACUUUACGGAAUUGCCAAAUAUGCUUAUGGUCCAAAAAAACAAAAACAAGGGGUGCCUGGCUUCGGCUCCCCUGCCCGGAAUUUUGGUUAGUCCCCCCAAACCCCCCCUCCCUUUGUUUCCU